CCUACGGGUGGCUGCAGUGGGGAAUAUUGCACAAUGGGGGAAACCCUGAUGCAGCAACGCCGCGUGAGCGAUGAAGGCCUUCGGGUCGUAAAGCUCUGUCCUAAGGGAAGAAUACUGACGGUACCUUAGGUGGAAACCCCGGCUAACUACGUGCCAGCUGCCGCGGUAAUACGUAGGGGGCUAGCGUUAUCCGGAAUUACUGGGCGUAAAGGGUGCGUAGGCGGCCCUUCAAGUCAGAGGUGAAAGGCUACGGCUCUACCGUAGUAAGCCUUAGCAAGUGAAGGGCUUGAGUGCAGGAGAGGAGAGUGGAGUUCCCGGUGUAGCCGUAGAAUGCGUAGGUAUUGGGAGGAACGGCAGGAACGAGGGCAGGUCUAUGGACUGGAUCUGGCGCUGGGGCACGAGAGCGUGGGGAGCGAACAGGAUUAGAUACCCGGGUAGUC
rnacentral:rRNA from 1 species